rnacentral:tRNA from 1 species
AAGAUACUAGUAAAAUAUAUUACACUACCUUGUCGGGGUAAAAUUGUGAGUUAAACCCUCACGUAUCUUA